rnacentral:rRNA from 14 species
GACUUUGAAUUUGCUUGUGUAGGAUAGGUGGGAGGCAUUGAAGUCAGGACGCUAGUCUUGAUGGAGCCAACCUUGAAAUACCACCCUGGCAACUUUGAGGUUCUAACUCAGGUCCGUUAUCCGGAUCGAGGACAGUGUAUGGUGGGUAGUUUGACUGGGGCGGUCUCCUCCUAAAGAGUAACGGAGGAGUACGAAGGUGCGCUCAGACCGGUCGGAAAUCGGUCGUAGAGUAUAAAGGCAAAAGCGCGCUUGACUGCGAGACAGACACGUCGAGCAGGUACGAAAGUAGGUCUUAGUGAUCCGGUGGUUCUGUAUGGAAGGGCCAUCGCUCAACGGAUAAAAGGUACUCUGGGGAUAACAGGCUGAUACCGCCCAAGAGUUCAUAUCGACGGCGGUGUUUGGCACCUCGAUGUCGGCUCAUCACAUCCUGGGGCUGUAGCCGGUCCCAAGGGUAUGGCUGUUCGCCAUUUAAAGUGGUACGCGAGCUGGGUUUAGAACGUCGUGAGACAGUUCGGUCCCUAUCUGCCGUGGGCGUUUGAUAUUUGAGAGGAGUUGACCUUAGUACGAGAGGACCGGGUUGAACGUAUCUCUGGUGUUCCGGUUGUCACGCCAGUGGCAUUGCCGGGUAGCUAAGUUCGGAAGAGAUAACCGCUGAAAGCAUCUAAGCGGGAAGCCCACCUCAAGAUGAGAUAUCACGGAUCUUAAGAUCCCUAAAGAGCCCUUGUAGACAACAAGGUUGAUAGGCGCGAUGUGGAAG